GUGAUCGUCACGGUUCGAGGUGCCCCACGGCUCACGCCACGGGGAGAAUCUGGGAAGUCCGGUGAAAGUCCGGCACAGGGCCCGCUGCGGUGACUCAGGCACUGACCUGGGAAGUCCGAAGACCGGCCUCGAUCCGCCCCGGACA
rnacentral:ncRNA from 2 species